AGAGUUUGAUCCUGGCUCAGGAUGAACGCUGGCGGCGUGCUUAACACAUGCAAGUCGAGCGGAGUUUAAUUGCGGAUCCCCUUCGGGGGUGAAAGAGUUAAAUUUAGCGGCGGACGGGUGCGUAACGCGUGGGUAAUCUGCCCUUGUCACUGGGAUAACACAUCGAAAGGUGUGCUAAUACUAGAUAAAAUGCAGACUCGGCAUCGAGACUGUAUCAAAGUCAUGCGGACAAGGAUGAGCCUGCGUCUGAUUAGCUUGUUGGUGGGGUAAAAGCCUACCAAGGCGACGAUCAGUAGCCGACCUGAGAGGGUGAUCGGCCACACUGGAACUGAGACACGGUCCAGACUCCUACGGGAGGCAGCAGUGGGGAAUAUUGCACAAUGGGCGCAAGCCUGUUGCAGCAACGCCGCGUGAGUGAUGAAGGCCUUCGGGUCGUAAAACUCUGUCCUAAGGGAAGAUAAUGACGGUACCUUAGGAGGAAGCCCCGGCUAACUACGUGCCAGCAGCCGCGGUAAUACGUAGGGGGCAAGCGUUAUCCGGAAUUACUGGGCGUAAAGGGUGCGUAGGUGGCCUGACAAGUCAGGGGUCAAAGGCAACGGCUCAACCGUUGUAAGCCCUUGAAACUGUCGGGCUUGAGUUCAGGAGAGGAAAGCGGAAUUCCAAGUGUAGCGGUGAAAUGCGUAGAUAUUUGGAGGAACAC
rnacentral:rRNA from 1 species